CUGGUUUUCUUUCAAUGCGGACACGGGAGUCUUCUUUGCUGUGGAGUUGUAAUACAUAGAGCAGAGCGAUUGGUAUUCUAAUGUGGAGAAUGGCUUUUCCCGAGCCUCCCUGCGGUGGAGGAGCUCGCCUGGCUGCUGUGCUCUUCUGAGCUGCAGAAAGAAUGCAGCACGAUCCGCUCAAUAGGAGGAAGCUGUUCUUUUUUUCUGCCCUGAAAAAAGUUUGUGCACAGCCCACGCUUCUGGAGAGAAUUUCUGUCAUGAUGGCUUCCAUAGUGUACUCCCUCUGAAAGAACAUAGACAACAGUGAAGAAGAGUUUAUGAAUGUGCAUAAAAACAAGCCAAAAACAGCUCCCGUUUCAUCCAUAUGAAAAACAAUCAAGCAAACAAAAAGCAGAACAACAACAACAAUUCUACAAUCAAAAUUAAUUGGGGGAUGGGAAGGAAAUAGCAGAACUUCAGUAGUACAUGUGUGCAAUUCAUAAUUAAAUACAUAUACAUAUAU